AGAGCUGAAAUGCGGAUUGUAGUUCAGGAACACGUCGCCGCGCAGCUGGUCGAUGCAGUGAAACAGCGGAUUCCAGUCGAAGAUCGCCAGCAUCGACGCAGACAGCGUGUUGGCAAGGAACAUCUUGCCCGAUGCGAUCAUAUUGACCCGG
rnacentral:ncRNA from 1 species